GGGGCCAUAGCUCAAUUGGUAGAGCGUUUGGAUGGCAUUCAAAAGGUCGGCGGUUCGAUUCCGCCUGGCUCCACCA
rnacentral:tRNA from 1 species